CUUCUGUCUCUCAGCAUUGAAGCCUUCCUGGCUGUCACUCCUUUCUUAUCUCCUGAUGUGAGUAGAACGCCCCCUUGGGGUGAGAGACAUGCAUGACUGGGCAAGGAUGGGGCUGAGGAAGCUCUGGGUUCCAGGUUGCAGGAGGGAGGCAGAGGCAGGGUCAGGCUGCCCAGGGUGGGGCCUAACAGGGAGUGCCUUGCCAGGAAGGGAGGGCAAAGGGCCAUGUCCUCUGACUGCCCCACCCACUAACAAGAGUCCGUCAGCAGGCUACCCUCUCAGUCUGGGGCCCUCGAGAGGUAAGUAUCCUGCUGAACCGACCUCAUCUCUUUCCUUGGGAUUGGGCGAGUCAUCUUUCCUCCUUGGGGUCCGAACAUCCUGCCCCUCUGCUUAUCCCUAGGCGGGAAGAGACCUACUCUCCCCUGCUUUACCUUAAGAGGCUGACACUGGGGCACUGGGGAGGCAGAGCCCAGAAUCCUAAGUGGCUGGAGCACUGGGGGACACCCAGACAGAACUCUCCCUGGACCAAGUCCUCCGAGAGCGGGAUGAAGCCAUUGCCAAGAAACAGGCCGUGGAGGCUGAGCUGGAUACAUGCAAAGCCAAGCUGCGAGCUGUGGAGGCCCAGCUGCUGGAAGUCCUGGAGGAGAAACUGAGACUGAGGCAGGAAGUGGAGGCCUGGGAGGAGGACAUGCAGCAGCUGGUGAGGCAGCGAGUUGAGAUUCAGCUGCAGAGAGAGUCCAGGGGUGCUCUGGGAGCCCCUGUGGACCCCAGAACUGCCAGGACCCCCUGGGUCCAAUUCUCCCUGGGUCGGUGGGGACGUUGGCGGUGAGAAAGCUUGACUCAAGACCUUGGAAGGAGUGUUUUAUUCAUUAAAGCUUGAGGUCUCACCACUUCUGCAUCCUUGUGCUCUCUCAGUGCUGGCUUCAGACCUUCUGUGCAGAAA